GUGGGAUUUUAAUAUAUAAACAAAAACACUUGACAGAAGUUUGAUACAAUUUUGUAAAGGAAAGCAGAGGAAAACAUUUUCUCAAAUGAAUCUUUUCAAAAUGUCACCACCAUUCCGAAAAGCAAGUGAAGAGGUUUGUGUAAAAGCAGUCCUCCCUAACCAGCUCUGUCCCUGACUCUAAACCCUGACUCUCAACCCUAACGCUAAACCCUCUGAGGGCAGGAAGACUAGACGGUGUAACGGUUUGAACCACAGAGAAGGAAGAAAAGAGGAAGCAGUAGAUAGUAGUGAAGUAGUGAGGUUAGUGACAGACGUGAGGGAAAGGCGUGUGGAAGCACACGGUUACAUGUGGGGUCAAGAAGAUCACUCCCACUGGAGGUCAUUGAUCCAUCAGCCUCAGACUGCUGAGCUCAGCAGGUCUUCUGGAGGACGAGGCUUAGAUGAACUGAGGAGACGGGACCAGCAGGAUGUCAGGAUCAGGGCGGGUUUAGCUCAGGUGUGUCUACCCUCGACCAAACAGGAUCAGGUGAGGUUCAGCUCAGGUGCGUCUGCCCGGACCAAACAAAGACAUUGAUUAGGUUCAAUAUUCAAAAGAUGCAACAUUAUCUGAACCAAAGAUAAGUCAUUAAGGAGCAGGCAGGCUUUAGGGCGCCUUGCUCAAGGACGCAUCACUGUAUUCUGAGGACUUGAACCUGGCACCAUUGGUUUGAGAGUUGAACCCCCUACCUAGUCCACUAUGUCCAGAAAAUGCAAACUUAUGAGGAAUCCUUGAUGGUAGAGUCCUGGUGGUCCUCAGGAUUUGCCUUCCAGAUGUACGGCUUCUCCAUCAGUCCUCCAGAUUCCUGGUCUUGUUACAAACGUAAUUUGUCUCUAAUGUAAGGUAACAAACACAGUAGUAGUUGGGCUCUAAUGUAAGGUAACUAACACAGGAGUAGUUGGGCUCUAAUGCAAGGUAACAAACACAGGAGUAGUUUGUCUCUAAUAUCAGGUAACAAACACAGUAGUAGUUUGUCUCUAAUGUAAGGUCAAAAACACAGGAGUAGUUGGGCUCUAAUGGCGCGUAACAAAGUAGCAGCUGUAGUUUGUCUGGUAAACAACCACAAUAGUAUGCCGUAACUUGUACUGGACAAUCUAAUCCUGCGUUGCAACAAGUCCACUGUUUAUUUUAGGCAAACUUACGAGGAUCCUGGUUGGUGGAGUGAUGUCGUCCUCUUGGCUCGAGUCUUGGCUCCUCCAUCAGCUCUCCUCAGCCAGAGUCCUGGUCUGGAACAAACAGCAGUGAUGGUCAUCCUCCAGAGUCACGGCUCCCCUACCAGCUCGCCUCCGCUCCAGAAACACGUUCUAUCGUCCUCCAGCGUCUCAGCUCCUCCAGCAGCUCUCCUCAGACAGAGUCCUGGUCUGGAACAAACAGCGGAAGUCUUGCUUCAACAAGUGGUAAAACAGAUGUAGUCGUCUGGUAUAUAUGGUACAAACGCCGGGAGUUUGUGGUAGCAGUAUUCUACUAGAAGUGGCAGUGAGUGUGAUGAUCACUUCAGAGUCAGGCUCCAUCUACCCCACGACAGACGUCCUUCACCAGGCAGGGCCUCCACCAGCUCCUCCACAAGGCAGGGCCUUCAGCACGACUUUGGAUUUUAGUGUUUCAGAUGAGCUUGGUGAUGGUUACCCUCUGGUCCGGUGCUGCAGGCCCCUGGUCUCCAGCCUCAGUCUCCGGUCCACCCUGGCACCACA
ensembl:lncRNA